UUGUCUCCACGCAACGCGCGCGCAUCCACCUGGGCGCGCCGGCCCGGAGCAGCGCGGGGGCUCGGGGACCCGGGGAUGCGGAGGACCCGGGAUGCCUGUAUGCGGAGGUCCCUCUCCAUCAGCGCUGGGUCAACAGCCCCAGGCUAAGACAAGAACCCCUACUUGGGUCCAGCAACCCUUCCCUGUCCCUGCAGCCGCGUUUUGUCCUGGAGGCCACCAGGUGGCGUCGCAGGCCCACGCGUGAUCGGCGAGGACUGCGGAGGCGCCCCGGCUCCUGUCUCCAGGAGGCGGUGGGGCGGGGGUCGGAGCCUUUCGGGAGCUCUGACCCAGCUCCUUUCUGUUGCUGGAUGGGUUGGUGACUCAGUGAACAUUUGUGAUUUGACAGAUUUGGUGGCAGUGGUGGGAUCAAAGAAAAUUCCAGCAGCUUCGGUGACAAGGAGAAAAGCAGUCAUGAAAGAAGCUACUGCUAGUGGUGAUCUCAGAGGCCAAAAAGCUGCAAAAACUGGUGACCACAGGUUGAGCACCUACAGGCUGUCCUCAGACCCAAGGCCUCGUGUGUUAGGAUAAGUCAGUUGCAGGAUGGGUUUGAUCGACUCUGGGCCACCUGCAAAUGCCAAGAAAACGUCUCAGCAGCGAGGUCCCCGUGGCACUUGCACAGCCCCUGUCCAGAAGCACAUCCCUUUGGGGUACCAGUUUGGUUCCAAGAAACCCAAAGCCUUGGCUCUUAGGAUCCUUGGAUUCCUGACUCCGAUACACUUGCUGAUUUGGGGUCUAACAGCUAUGGUCCCAGAAGUUAUAAAUACUGACAAAAAUGGCAAAUGUUAUUAAAAACAACCUAGAAUUGCGUGACUACCAUGAGGAAUGUUAAUUGAGCAGCAUCUGAGAAAAAGCAGGUGGACACUGAUUGUAGUUGGUGGGCAGAGGCCUCCAGAAGGCUUCAAGACUCUAAAAUGUCUUCAUUAAAAGGCAUCCUGCCUAAUGAGAAAUGAAAGACCUGAGAGGUGCCUGAACACGACGGUAGGCCUGACAUGGCUCCCACUGGCCCUGCCUGAGCGCCUGUGUGGUACCAGUUCUCUGUCUGGACAGCUUCCCACUGGAAGAGGCUAUUACACAGGUGCCUUUGAGAAGAAAGCCGCCUGAGAUCCUGGGAUCUCGUCCACUCUUUGGUCAAAGACCAAACCAAUGAGCAGAAUUUUAAAGUUCCCUAAACCCAGGGUGCAUCCCCCCAAAUAUUUUAGGUUUGGAGUCAUUACUGGGCUUCUGACCCGGGGCUGCCAGAUCUUUUUCUGCCUGUGUGUGAGCUGGUUGGACUCAGGGAUCCCAAAAUGGACCUAGGAAGCAGGACGGCGGAGUCUCAGGGGGAUAUUAGCGAUCCAUCGUCUGCACGGGGAAGCUCUUUCUAUGGCCUUCCAGGCUCCGCGCAAUAAACCGGGGUGCCCAGCCUGCUCUGGAUCCCCCGAGAUUAGAGGCUGAUAAAAAUGCAGGAAAUAGGAUGGGCGGCCCCCCCAUCUCGUGACCGAGGCUGAACACUUUGAAAGGACUUUGGACCAAGGUCAUUAACAAAGGUCCUUCAAAUGAGUGGCCUUACAGCCACAGCAGCUCCAAGGCAAGAACCCUAAAGUCACGCCUGGGCCCCCACAUCAUACCCUCGAGGUCCACCACCGACCCAUCGGCCCAAGGGUGUUUCAUCUGUGAUCCGCUGGGGCACCCAGAAAGCCGUCCUCGAAGGUGCCAAGAAAAUCCCUCAACAUCCACUCCCGCCACCAGAGGAGGCCCCUUGUGCCCCUCCCAGGGCUGACAGGACCCCCAAGGGGCUCGCCAGGAAACUGCUGGCGGGAACAUCCUUAAACAGCCGAGGGGAAACGACAGCUAACAUUACUGGACAAUCUUGCCAAAUUCUGAUCGAUACCGGGGCUGCCCUCGCUGCUUCACACCCACCCGCACAGGACAGCAGACUCCUCGCGUGGGGUAGCUCGUUCAGAGAGCAUUUCUACCUCAGCCAGUGCGAAGGACGCCGGACCUGCUCCUGAACACGUUCCUUUUUGCUGCAGGUCGCUGGCCCCUCGCCCCGCGGGCAGCGGUCUCCUCCCUCAGCAGCGAGUGUGGGUGGGUCUCGCCUCCCGUGAGGCCUCGCUGGUGGCUCCGGACCAGCGUGGGCCUGGUCCUUUCGUCCCGCAGGCUGUCCCCGACCCAGAGAGGAAGACGUUCCACAAAGCCGCCCCCCCCCCAUCUGUGGGCUGCAUCCAUAAAGAGGGCUGACCCUGUACCACCCUCAGCGACCAAACCCACCUCCCCUUCAACCCUGUGACAGCCGCGAAGGCCUCAGGCCGGGCCCCGUCUCACCUCUGGCGGGAGACUUAAGCGCCCGGGGACCGGCCGCCACAGCGCAGGUCCUGCCGGUCAGGGACAGAAGGGGCCAGUGAUUUGCCCAGGGUCUGGGCGCUGUUGACAUGUCGGUGACGCGUCUCCUGCUGUUUGGAACCUGAACACCCUCGGCCACAAGAUCCGGCCGGUUCAAAACGGUUCCCUCUUGGCGGCCUUGGUUCAGGCCUCUCCCUGCCCCCUUAGACCCCAAGGCCAAGGCCUGUUCGCCUUUACUCCAAACGAUCAGCAGCAGCCCCGGGGGGCUGUGCCUGAGAGGUUCCCGGGGCCCCUCCGGCUUCUCCCAAGUGCUCCGCCGAGCUGUAGGGCCCCUCUUAUACCACGCCGGUGACCUGCUGUGCCCCGUCCCCAGAGACACAUCCAGGGAAGACCCCAGGCGUUUGCUGCAGCCGUUAGCCGGGAAAGGACAGUCUCCGGGAAGGUGACACUUAUCUCUAUCCACUCUUCGUUACCUAGGUCAUAACGGAAGUGCUGGACGAUUCCGCCAUCUCCAAAAAGAAUUAAGCCGAUCCAGGAAUUACCCAGGCCCACAGCUAAGCGGCAGCCUUGGGCGUUUCUAGGCUGCGCUGGGCAUGGGCGACGCUGGGUUCCUGUGUCUUCUUGAUUUGCUCCCCCACUUUAUGCACAGACUUCUCAGUCCUGAGCCCCCUCCCCAGCAGGGUAAAUGGGAGCUGGCCUUUCCGAGACUAAAACGCGUGCUGGGAGAACGCCCACCCUGGGCUGCCCAGCACUUCCAAACCUGUCACUUUAUUUGUGCCUGAGGAGCUAGGCCCUGGGAGGCUGUCGCAGGGACGGUCGGUCAGAAGCACCCUGACUCAGCGCUGACACCCGCCUCAGCUGCCUUAAGGUCACAGCCGCAGCUGCAAAGUGGGCAGACGCAGCUUUGACGCUGGAGGUGACGUGUAUUUACCCUUCCCGCUGUCCAGAGUUUUCCCUCGGAACUGACCCAGCAUAGGCUUCUGACCCUACCCCUGCUUCCACCUCCACCACCUUCCUCUUAAAAUGUCCUCGGAGUUCCUUUGUGGUGCAGUGAGUUAAGUAUCUGGGGUGGUCCCUGCAGUGGCUCGGGUUCGAUCCCUGACCCGGGAACUUCCACAUGCCCCGGACAAGGCCAAUUAAGGGGGCGGGGGGGGGGCAACAAGUUAAAUGACCUUUCUCCUGCUAUCUUCUUAUCUUCUGAAGUCGCUGUCAUCAAAAUUGGGGUCCCACUGGGAAAACUGACCCUGAGUGUCAGGGAACUACCCCAGCUCGUCUCGUUGCACAGGCAGCAGCAGCAGCAUCGGUAAAGACUGGCCGGUAGGUGAAGUCCACUCUGUUUCUGCAGAAAUGGCCUCUCGUUGUCAGACUUUUGCAACCCGAUGUUUCUGUGGACGGGGCGGUGGGCUGCUCCUGCCUUGGGGACACAGAGAUGCGGAAACAAUGGCUGUGGAUCAAACAGCGGGGGCUGCGGGAAACCCCAAGCGGCUUCUAGGUUCUUCCUGGCUCCCUGGCAAGCCCCGUUUUCAGCUUUUACCUCCCAUUACCCCAAGUGCACUUAACAUGAUUCAGAUGGUAAAUAAGCAUUGGCAGGGAGACGUCUACAAAAUCUCGAGACAGUUUGCCAUCAGUGUCCGCAUGCCAGGUCCAUGACCUGGAGAAGCUAUUUUGUGCCCAGAGGCCUCAAACCACCUCCCUCCGAACCCCCGCUGCUUCGCGGGGGUGUCAGUGUGUUCCUGUCAUCGUGUUUGGCUUCCUGAGGGGUGGAAGCCUUCCGUUGUCGCAGGAAAGAUGCCCUCAUGGGGGCAAAGAAACCAUCCAUCAGAGAGUCCGUCUCUCGGCUACUUGGUCACAUGGUCUCCAGUGACCAAGGCACCCACUCCCGGCCGCUCCCACGAGCCUUCCCGGAAAAGCUGCCGACUUCUUGGAAUCAUCACUGUCCCUCUUGCCCUCAAUCGAGCAAAGCUGAGAGAACUAAAGGGACCCUCAAACCUAAAUAUCUAAAUGGCCAAAGCGACUGGACUUCUUGGGCCGAAGGUCCUGUAGGACCCUCUUUGGGAAACAUAAACCCACUCCCAGGAGAGGGUCCCCUGCAGACCCAUGCCUACGGUGCACGGCCUCUGCUGACCUGGCUGCCAGGCUGGUGGGCCCAGCUGCCGUCCGUCUCUGAUGGCUUGUGCUCAGACUUAGCAGCAGCAGGUAAAGCUUCCUCAAUCCACCCUCCAAGAUCUGUUGGUCACAGUCUGGAGCCUCGUGACUGGGUCUUCUGGAAACUUCGCGAGAGGGAGACAGCCCCUCACUAAGUGCCCCUGACCACUGACACGGAUGCAAGAUGAAGAGGCGCCGAGCCUUGGGUACACAUCUCACAGGUAAAGGAGGUGCCGCCUGACAUCUGGUCCUGUGCAGACCUGGGGACCUCGGGAAUCAGCUGGACGAGGAGGAGCAGUGGUGACAUCAGGAUGGGUGUCCACUGCCACCGAAACGCUGGCUCAAGGCUUUUUCCUACUUUAACGAAGACUCGAGGCCCUUCCUUCCUCCUGUUCUCUCCUUUACUCUGGCUUGAAACCAAGUCCCCCCAAACCAAGUUCCUCUGCGCAGUUUAGGACGAAACUCUUGAUCCAAAGCUUUGCCCCCUUUCUUGUCCCCCCCCUCCCCCGUUCCCCUUAGGCUCGAGGAGAAUCAAAGAAGAGGCUACGAAACGGAGCAAGGUCCUGCGGGGCCUCCCCAGUGUCUGUGGUCCUCCCCCUUUCUUUCCUUUCCCUGUCAGGGCUGCACCUGCAGCAUAUGCAGGGUCCCAGGGUCAAAUUGGAGCUGCAGCUACUGGCCUACGUCACAGCCACAGCCACGCAGGAUCCCAGCCGCAUCUGUGACCUACACCAUAGCUCACGGCAGCGCCAGAUACUUAACCUACGGAGCAAAGCCAGGGAGCGAACCUGCGUCCUCAUGGAUCCUAGUCGGGUUCGUUACUGCUGAGCCACGCAGGGAACUCCUGUGUUUCUUGUAGGUCUCCUGGGCCUUCCCUGAGUGCCAAAGACCAGGGACAGGCAGCUACUAAUUAGGGAAGUGAGGGAACGCACACUGGAGGAAAGGCAGUUAAACGAGAAAAGCAGUAACAAUAGUUCCGGAUAAAACAGUCCCAGCUCCUUCUCAAAGGGUGCAGAGCCGCCCGACGGGCUUCUUAGCUUUGGUCUUCGGGAACCGAGACCCACCUGCCUGCUGCUUGUAGAAUCUCGACAUCUGAGUCCACGCUGCACCCAUCUCUUCGGCUUUCACCCCGACGUCCUAAGCCUCUGCUCAGCCGUGCACACGACGUGUUAGUUACUGAAGGAACUGGAGUGUGAGAGCCCCUCCUCAGGGAAGCCCCCGUGGUGAUAAGGAAAAGCGAGCGAGAAGAAUGACCCUUUGUCUCGCGGAGUUCUGCGGGAACCUCGGAACAGACCAGAUUUGCACCGACUAGAGCCGACUGACCAGGAACAAAGACCUCGGCCCGGGGUCUCUUCCGUCCCCUGACCUUCCCGUCCCCAACUCCCCCUCCGGCCUUCGCGUAAAAGAAGCCUGAAUUCUACCCUGAGUUAAGAGGGCUCCUUGGAGAACAGCCUGUGGCUGCCAGGGUGGCGAGCGGGUGGGGGAGGGAUGAAGUGGGAGUUGGGGGCAGCAGAUGCCAAGUAUUCUAUGCAGAAUGGGUAAUAAGGUCCCACUCUGUAGCACCCAGAACUGUGUUCAAUAUCCCGUGAUAAACCCUAAGGGAAGAGAACAGAAAAAGGAUGCAUGUGCAUAUGCACGAUUGUUUCACUUUGCUGUGCUCAGAAACAUCGUAAAUCAACUGUACUGAAGCGGACAGAACAUUGUAAAUCAACCGUAAUCAGAAAGUUAAAAAAGAAGAUGACUCUUUGGGACAGUCCUGCCAUCGGCUGCAGGCAACGUUCUCACAGCGUUGGCAGAAACAAAGGCGCUGGGCCCGCGUGACUCAGCGGCCGAGCACCCGGGCGGGGCUGCACGCAGUCAAGUUUGUUCUCCUGUUACAUUACAGCCAGAACAACUUGUGCCUUUUUUUUUCUCCCAACCUUUCUCCAGUUAUAACUGUACCUGCCUGACUACAUACAAAUACCUGAAUAAAUCUUAGCACGUUU